rnacentral:rRNA from 1 species
CUAUACAUGAGUCGAGCGGAGUUGAUAGGAAGCUUGCUUCCUUGAUGCUUAGCGGCGGACGGGUGAGUAACACGUAGGCAACCUGCCCUCAAGCUUGGGACAACUACCGGAAACGGUAGCUAAUACCGAAUACUUGCUUCCUUCGCCUGAAGGAAGCUGGAAAGACGGAGCAAUCUGUCACUUGAGGAUGGGCCUGCGGCGCAUUAGCUAGUUGGUGAGGUAACGGCUCACCAAGGCGACGAUGCGUAGCCGACCUGAGAGGGUGAUCGGCCACACUGGGACUGAGACACGGCCCAGACUCCUACGGGAGGCAGCAGUAGGGAAUCUUCCGCAAUGGGCGAAAGCCUGACGGAGCAAUGCCGCGUGAGUGAUGAAGGUUUUCGGAUCGUAAAGCUCUGUUGCCAGGGAAGAACGUCCUUGAGAGUAACUGCUCAAGGAGUGACGGUACCUGAGAAGAAAGCCCCGGCUAACUACGUGCCAGCAGCCGCGGUAAUACGUAGGGGGCAAGCGUUGUCCGGAAUUAUUGGGCGUAAAGCGCGCGCAGGCGGUCAUUUAAGUCUGGUGUUUAAUCCCGGGGCUCAACCCCGGAUCGCACUGGAAACUGGAUGACUUGAGUGCAGAAGAGGAGAGUGGAAUUCCACGUGUAGCGGUGAAAUGCGUAGAUAUGUGGAGGAACACCAGUGGCGAAGGCGACUCUCUGGGCUGUAACUGACGCUGAGGCGCGAAAGCGUGGGGAGCAAACAGGAUUAGAUACCCUGGUAGUCCACGCCGUAAACGAUGAGUGCUAGGUGUUAGGGGUUUCGAUACCCUUGGUGCCGAAGUUAACACAUUAAGCACUCCGCCUGGGGAGUACGGUCGCAAGACUGAACUCAAGGAAUUGACGGGGACCCGCACAAGCAGUGGAGUAUGUGGUUUAAUUCGAAGCAACGCGAAGAACCUUACCCAGUCUUGAC